rnacentral:rRNA from 1 species
AACUGUGCAAAGGUAGCGUAAUCAUUAGUCUUUUAAUUGGAGGCUAGAAUGAAUGGUUGGACGAGGCAUAUACUGUAUCAAGCUAAUAUAUAGAAUUUUAUUUUUUAGUUAAAAAGCUAAAAUAAAUAUGAAAGACGAGAAGACCCUAUAGAUCUUUAUAUCUGAUUUGAUUUUAAUUAUUUGGAUAAUUUUAGUUGAAAUUGGGUUAGGUAUUUUGUUGGGGUGACAUUAAGAUUUAUUUAACUCUUAAUUUAUUAUUACAUUAAUUUUUGAAUAGUUAAUUAAAUAUUGAUCCUGUAUUAUGGAUUGUAAAAUUAAGUUACCUUAGGGAUAACAGCGUAAUUUUUCUGGAGAGUUCUUAUCGAUAGAAAAGAUUGCGACCUCGAUGUUGGAUUAAGAUUAAUAUUGGGUGUAGAAGUUCAAUUUAUUAAGUCUGUUCGACUUUUAAUUUCUUACAUGAUCUGAGUUCAAACCGGCGUGAGCCAGGUUGGUUUCUAUCUUUAUUGAAUGUUAAUAUUUUAGUACGAAAGGACCAAAUAUUAAAAUUAUUAAUUUUAUUUAUUGAAUUAUAUUAAU